UAGUCAUUGUAGAAUCCGCCA
ensembl:piRNA 21ur-2553 ncRNA